rnacentral:rRNA from 1 species
UACGAAGGGUGCAAGCGUUGUUCGGAAUUAUUGGGCGUAAAGCGCGCGCAGGCGGAUUUGCAAGUCAGAUGUGAAAUCCCCGGGCUUAACCUGGGAACUGCGUUUGAAACUGGGAGGCUAGAGUGUGGAAGAGGGGGGUGGAAUUCCAGGUGUAGCAGUGAAAUGCGUAGAGAUCUGGAGGAACACCGAUGGCGAAGGCAGCCCCCUGGGCUGACACUGACGCUCAUGCACGAAAGCGUGGGGAGCAAACAGG